GUAGCCUAACACAUGCAAGUCGUACGAGAAAGUCGGCUUCGGCCGGCGAGUAAAGUGGCGCACGGGUGAGUUAACGCGUGGAUAAGUCUACCCGUUGAAGUUGGGAAUAACGUGCCGAAAGGUGCGCUAAUACCGAAUAAUACUGAGUGACUAAUGUUGCUUAGUCAAAGAAGGCCUCUGCUUGCAAGCUUUCGCUGAAGGAUGAGUCCGCGUACCAUUAGCUAGUUGGUAGGGUAAUGGCCUACCAAGGCAACGAUGGUUAGCUGGUCUGAGAGGAUGAUCAGCCACACUGGAACUGAGACACGGUCCAGACUCCUACGGGAGGCAGCAGUGAGGAAUAUUGCGCAAUGGGGCAACCCUGACGCAGCAACGCCGCGUGAGUGAGGAAGGUUUUCGGACCGUAAAGCUCUGUCGAGCGGGAAGAAAUGCAUGCUGGCUAAUAUCCAUCAUGCUUGACGGUACCGCUAGAGGAAGCACCGGCUAACUCCGUG
rnacentral:rRNA from 1 species